rnacentral:misc_RNA from 1 species
CUAAUUUUGAAAUGGUUAUUUGACUACAUUUUCAUCAUGGAUUUGUAAUACUGAUGAAAGAUCGAAAACACUAUCUGUAUGAAUUAUGAUUUAUGUGAACAAGAAUUCUUCCGAUCGUCUUUUUUAAAUAACAGUCUGAUAACAGAAACAUGGCAGACAAACGCAUUGAAUUUAUUGAGUCAAAAAUAGCGGUCCAUCACGAUUUUCCAAUACCUGGAGUUAUAUUUCGUGAUAUUUUUGGGGUAUUUGGUGAUCCUGAAGGACUGAAAGUGUUACUUGAAGUUGUUGAGGAAAAAGCAUUGUCUUUAAAAGGAAAAGUGGACGUGGUUGUUGGACUUGACUCAAGAGGAUUUUUGAUUGGUCCCUCAAUGGCUAAAGCUCUCGGAGUUCCUUUUGUUCCAAUUCGUAAAAAAAGGAAAACUUCCUCCCAAGGUUAUCUCUCUAUCCUAUGAUUUGGAGUACGGUUCUGCUACCAUUGAAAUUCAAGAAUCAUCUAUUAAAAAGGGGGCAAGAGUUUUGCUUGUAGACGAUUUGUUAGCAACAGGUGGAACUCUUGAGAGUUCUAUGAAAUUAAUUGAUAAAAUAGGAGCUGUUACCUCUGAGAUAUUUGUUUUGAUUGAACUUAAAGGACUUGGAGGAGCAAAGCGUUUAAAUCAUCCAGUUGAAUCCUUAAUUUCUUAUGACUAAAUGAGCUUAUAUUUGUUAUAAAUGAACCAUAGAGGGUAUUUUAUCUGUAUGGUUUUUAAGUUACUGAUAUUCUUGUAAACACAUUGUCUUUGAUAUUUUUGAUUUGUUAUGUUUCGUCGUAUCAAAUAAUUAAUAAAUGAUGAUAAUUCUUCUCUAA